CGAUAGCUCAGUUGGUAGAGCAAAGGACUGAAAAUCCUUGUGUCACUGGUUCGAUUCCAGUUCGA
rnacentral:tRNA from 3 species